rnacentral:rRNA from 1 species
UACGUAGGGUGCGAGCGUUAAUCGGAAUUACUGGGCGUAAAGCGUGCGCAGGCGGUUUUGUAAGUCAGAUGUGAAAUCCCCGGGCUCAACCUGGGAACUGCAUUUGUGACUGCAUAGCUGGAGUGCGGCAGAGGGGGAUGGAAUUCCGCGUGUAGCAGUGAAAUGCGUAGAUAUGCGGAGGAACACCGAUGGCGAAGGCAAUCCCCUGGGCCUGCACUGACGCUCAUGCACGAAAGCGUGGGGAGCAAACAGG